UACGGGGGGGGCAAGCGUUGUUCGGAAUCACUGGGCUUAAAGCGUGUGUAGGCGGAUCGUUAAGUGCCUUGUGAAAUCCCACGGCUCAACCGUGGAACUGCUUGGCAUACUGGCGGUCUUGAGCAACCUAGGGGCGAGCGGAACAAAUGGUGGAGCGGUGAAAUGCGUAGAUAUCAUUUGGAACGCCAAUGGUGAAAACAGCUCGCUGGGGGUUUGCUGACGCUGAGACACGAAAGCCAGGGGAGCAAACGGG
rnacentral:rRNA from 1 species